GACGAACGCUGGCGGCGUGCUUAACACAUGCAAGUCGAACGAAGAGCGAUGGAAGCUUGCUUCUAUCAAUCUUAGUGGCGAACGGGUGAGUAACGCGUAAUCAACCUGCCCUUCAGAGGGGGACAACAGUUGGAAACGACUGCUAAUACCGCAUACGAUCUAAUCUCGGCAUCGAGGAUAGAUGAAAGGUGGCCUCUACAUGUAAGCCAUCACUGAAGGAGGGGAUUGCGUCUGAUUAGCUAGUUGGAGGGGUAACGGCCCACCAAGGCGAUGAUCAGUAGCCGGUCUGAGAGGAUGAACGGCCACAUUGGGACUGAGACACGGCCCAGACUCCUACGGGAGGCAGCAGUGGGGAAUCUUCCGCAAUGGACGAAAGUCUGACGGAGCAACGCCGCGUGAGCGAUGACGGCCUUCGGGUUGUAAAGCUCUGUUAAUCGGGACGAAAGGCCUCCUUGCGAAUAGUGAGAAGGAUUGACGGUACCGGAAUAGAAAGCCACGGCUAACUACGUG
rnacentral:rRNA from 1 species